AGUGUUGGUCCAUCUUGAUGUGAUAGUUAUCUACAUUUUGGUGGUUCAGCUGUUCAGAUCUUUUUCUGGUCAGGAUAUUGCCCUUCAUUGUGCUUUAUCUGUAAUGGGGGGUUGUCUGCUAUCUAACCGUCUCUUUUGUUGAGACAAUACUUCAUUGAUUAUUUGACCUCAAAUCAGGUAGGACUACCCGCUGAACUUAA
rnacentral:misc_RNA from 1 species